rnacentral:rRNA from 1 species
AUUGAACGCUGGCGGCAGGCCUAACACAUGCAAGUCGAGCGGAUGAAGGGAGCUUUCUCCUGGAUUCAGCGGCGGACGGGUGAGUAAUGCCUAGGAAUCUGCCUGGUAGUGGGGGAUAACGUCCGGAAACGAGCGCUAAUACCGCAUACGUCCUGAUUGGGAAAGUAGGGGAUCUUCGGACCUCACGCUAUCAGAUGAGCCUAGGUCGGAUUAGCUAGUUGGUGGGGUAAAGGCCUACCAAGGCGACGAUCCGUAACUGGUCUGAGAGGAUGAUCAGUCACACUGGAACUGAGACACGGUCCAGACUCCUACGGGAGGCAGCAGUGGGGAAUAUUGCACAAUGGGCGAAAGCCUGAUGCAGCCACGCCGCGUGUGUGAAGAAGGUCUUCGGAUUGUAAAGCACUUUAAGUUGGGAGGAAGGGCAGUAAGUUAAUCCCUUCAUGUUUUGACGUUACCAACAGAAUAAGCCCCGGCUAACUUCGUG